rnacentral:tRNA from 1 species
GCUUUCGUGGCCCAAUGGUUAAGGCUCCCGACUCUUAAUCGGGCGAUUGCGGGUUCGAUACCCGCCGAGAGCU